CCUACGGGUGGCUGCAGUGGGGAAUAUUGCACAAUGGGCGCAAGCCUGAUGCAGCCAUGCCGCGUGUGUGAAGAAGGCCUUCGGGUUGUAAAGCACUUUCAGCGGGGAGGAAGGCGGUGAGGUUAAUAACCUCAUCGAUUGACGUUACCCGCAGAAGAAGCACCAGCUAACUCCGUGCCAGCAGCCGCGGUAAUACGGAGGGUGCAAGCGUUAAUCGGAAUUACUGGGCGUAAAGCGCACGCAGGCGGUCUGUCAAGUCGGAUGUGAAAUCCCCGGGCUCAACCUGGGAACUGCAUUCGAAACUGGCAGGCUAGAGUCUUGUAGAGGGGGGUAGAAUUCCAGGUGUAGCGGUGAAAUGCGUAGAGAUCUGGAGGAAUACCGGUGGCGAAGGCGGCCCCCUGGACAAAGACUGACGCUCAGGUGCGAAAGCGUGGGGAGCAAACAGGAUUAGAUACCCGUGUAGUC
rnacentral:rRNA from 1 species